rnacentral:tRNA from 2 species
GCCAACGUAGCUUAGCUGGUAGAGCGGCUGAUUUGUAAUCAGCAGGCCGGGAGUUCAAAUCUCUCCGUUGGCU